CACGUAGGCGGCUUUGUAAGUUAGAGGUGAAAGCCCGGAGCUCAACUCCGGAAUUGCCUUUAAGACUGCAUCGCUUGAACAUCGGAGAGGUAAGUGGAAUUCCGAGUGUAGAGGUGAAAUUCGUAGAUAUUCGGAAGAACACCAGUGGCGAAGGCGACUUACUGGACGAUUGUUGACGCUGAGGUGCGAAAGCGUGGGGAGCAAACA
rnacentral:rRNA from 1 species